UUUUAAUUGCUUCAUAAACUUGUGUUUGGUAAUAAAGAUUACACAGUUAACGUUUCCAGUUUGCUGAGGGAAGAUCCCAGAGGUCUGCUUGUAAUUGUUACACACGGAAUUCCACUCACCCAAAUGUCUGGAAUUGAAUCCUCGUGCCAUAUGUAAGUCAAACGCAUUGAAUCAUGCACAUGGAUCUGUUUUAAACAAAAGGCUGAAUCUGAUCUAUUGCACCUUUUUUCCAGGACGUAAAAGCAAGUGAAGACAAUUAAGAAAAGUUUAUUUGUCAUUGAACAAAGGGAAUUUCUGGAUCUCGAAACGUAAG